GAGGGGGGGAAUCUCUAUAAUGAAGACAGCGCGCGGACAGACUUUUAACAAGCGGCGGAUACGCUCUGUUCCUCGGAUGCUGUGUUGUCUCUGACAGCGCUUGUAGUUCGUGCAAGAAAGUUGUCGGAAUUUCUAGCGUCUAAUUAACGCGACACGCCGCCUUUAGUAAACGUAUAGCACGCGCAGAAGUUAAGAGAUGCGAAGAAUAAACUUCAUAUGUGGACUAUCGAUAAAAAGAGUACAUUUCUGCAUCAGUAAAUAUUUAUUUAUGCAUGCAAAGUUGCUAUAUAGCUCAUUUGAAGGAUUUCUACGUCUCAUUUUUGUAUUGGAAUAAGGCUAGCGCUCUACGUGUACGAGUACUUGUUACAUGUAGGAGCCCAGAAGUCGGCACAGACCUUCCUGUCAGAGAUAAGAUGGGAGAAGAACAUAACGUUAGGAGAACCUCCAGGAUUCUUACAUUCAUGGUGGUGUGUAUUCUGGGAUUUAUAUUGUGCGGCACCUGAAAGGAGAGAAACCUGUGAGCAUUCCAGUGAAGCCAAGGCAUUCCACGACUACGUAAGUUACUCUCACAGUGCAUGGAUGGAUGAAUGGUGUGGCGUAGUAGUUAAAGCGCAGAGCUGGGACAGAUGGGUGGAUGGAAUGCUAGAAAGUUUGAACGUUAGAAAGAUAGAUACAUGGAUAGAUGAUAAAAUGCUAGAAAGAUGGAUGGAGUGAUGGGUGAAUGAUAGCUGGAUGGAUAGAUGAUAAAAUGCUAGAAAGAUGGAUGGAUGGAAUGCUAGAAAGAUAGAGAGAUGGACGGAUGAUAGAUGGGUAGACAGACACUAGAAAGAUGAAUGGAUGGAUAGAUGGAAUGCUAGAAAGAUGAAUGAAUGAUGGAUGAUGGAUGAGUUGAUGGGUGGAUAGAUGGAUAGAACAUGAGAACGAUAGAACACUAGAAUGUUAGAUUGCUGAUGGAUGGAUAGAAUGCUAAAAAGAUAGAGAGAUGGAUGAAUGAUAGAUGGGUAGAUAUAUAGAUAGAUAUGCUA